rfam:Blautia sp. An46 An46_contig_18, whole genome shotgun sequence.
UGACCACCCUUUGGGUUAAGGCCAUACGGACAGCCGGGUCAACUGCCGA